GUUGUUGGUGUAGUGGUUAACACCCCGGACUUGCAAUUUUCUGGGGUCCCGGGUUCGAUGCCGAUAGGUCG
rnacentral:tRNA from 1 species